GAUGAACGCUGGCGGCGUGCCUAAUACAUGCAAGUCGAACGAAACUUCUUUAUCACCGAGUGCUUGCACUCACCGAUAAAGAGUUGAGUGGCGAACGGGUGAGUAACACGUGGGCAACCUGCCCAAAAGAGGGGGAUAACACUUGGAAACAGGUGCUAAUACCGCAUAACCAUAGUUACCGCAUGGUAACUAUGUAAAAGGUGGCUAUACUACCGCUUUUGGAUGGGCCCGCGGCGCAUUAGCUAGUUGGUAGGGUAAAGGCUUACCAAGGCAAUGAUGCGUAGCCGAAGUGAGAGGUUGAUCGGCCACAUUGGGACUGGGACACGGCCCAAACUCCUACGGGAGGCAGCAGUAGGGAAUCUUCCACAAUGGGCGAAAGCCUGAUGGAGCAACGCCGCGUGGGUGAAGAAGGUCUUCGGAUCGUAAAACCCUGUUGUUAGAGAAGAAAGUGCGUGAGAGUAACUGUUCACGUUUCGACGGUAUCUAACCAGAAAGCCACUGCUAACUACGUG
rnacentral:rRNA from 1 species